UACGGGGGGGCAAGCGUUGUUCGGAAUUACUGGGCGUAAAGGGCUCGUAGGUGGCCAACUAAGUCAGACGUGAAAUCCCUCAGCUUAACUGGGGAACUGCGUCUGAUACUGGAUGGCUUGAGUUUGGGAGAGGGACGCGGAAUUCCAGGUGUAGCGGUGAAAUGCGUAGAUAUCUGGAGGAACACCGGUGGCGAAGGCGGCGUCCUGGACCAACACUGACACUGAUGAGCGAAAGCCAGGGGAGCAACGGG
rnacentral:rRNA from 1 species